rnacentral:rRNA from 1 species
GACGAACGCUGGCGGCGUGCCUAAUACAUGCAAGUAGAACGCUGAAGGAGGAGCUUGCUUCUCCGGAUGAGUUGCGAACGGGUGAGUAACGCGUAGGUAACCUGCCUGGUAGCGGGGGAUAACUAUUGGAAACGAUAGCUAAUACCGCAUAAGAGUAGAUGUCGCAUGACAUUUGCUUAAAAGGUGCAACUGCACCACUACCAGAUGGACCUGCGUUGUAUUAGCUAGUUGGUGAGGUAACGGCUCACCAAGGCAACGAUACAUAGCCGACCUGAGAGGGGGGUCGGCCACACUGGGACUGCGACACGGCCCAGACUCCUACGGGAGGCAGCAGUAGGGAAUCUUCGGCAAUGGACGGAAGUCUGACCGAGCAACGCCGCGUGAGUGAAGAAGGUUUUCGGAUCGUAAAGCUCUGUUGUAAGAGAAGAACGAGUGUGAGAGUGGAAAGUUCACACUGUGACGGUAUCUUACCAGAAAGGGACGGCUAACUACGUG